UGGAAUUUGCUGUCUGUAUCACGGACUUCCA
rnacentral:piRNA from 1 species